GACGAACGCUGGCGGCGUGCUUAACACAUGCAAGUCGAACGGAAAGGCCCUGCUUGCCGGGUACUCGAGUGGCGAACGGGUGAGUAACACGUGGGUGAUCUGCCCUGCACUUCGGGAUAAGCCUGGGAAACUGGGUCUAAUACCGGAUAGGAGCCAUUUUUAGUGUGAUGGUUGGAAAGUUUUUUCGGUGUAGGAUGAGCUCGCGGCCUAUCAGCUUGUUGGUGGGGUAAUGGCCUACCAAGGCGGCGACGGGUAGCCGGCCUGAGAGGGUGGACGGCCACAGUGGGACUGAGAUACGGCCCAGACUCCUACGGGAGGCAGCAGUGGGGAAUAUUGCACAAUGGGCGCAAGCCUGAUGCAGCGACGCCGCGUGGGGGAUGACGGCCUUCGGGUUGUAAACUCCUUUCGCUAGGGACGAAGCUUUUUGUGACGGUACCUAGAUAAGAAGCACCGGCUAACUACGUG
rnacentral:rRNA from 1 species